CCUACGGGGUGCAGCAGUGGGGAAUAUUGGGCAAUGGGCGCAAGCCUGACCCAGCAACGCCGCGUGAAGGAAGAAGGCUUUCGGGUCGUAAACUUCUUUUCUGAGGGACGAAGAAAGUGACGGUACCUCAGGAAUAAGCCACUGCUAACUACGUGCCAGCAGCCGCGGUAAUACGUAGGUGGCAAGCGUUAUCCGGAUUUAUUGGGUGUAAAGGGCGUGUAGGCGGGAAAGCAAGUCAGAUGUGAAAACUCAGGGCUCAACCCUGAGACUGCAUUUGAAACUGUUUGUCUUGAGUGCUGGAGAGGCAAGCGGAAUUCCGUGUGUAGCGGUGAAAUGCGUAGAUAUACGGAGGAACACCAGUGGCGAAGGCGGAUUGCUGGACAGUAACUGACGCUGAGGCGCGAAAGCGUGGGGAGCAAACAGGAUUAGAUACCCUUGUAGUC
rnacentral:rRNA from 1 species